rnacentral:rRNA from 1 species
UGGGGAAUUUUGGACAAUGGGGGAAACCCUGAUCCAGCCAUCCCGCGUGUGCGAUGAAGGCCUUCGGGUUGUAAAGCACUUUUGGCAGGAAAGAAACGUCAUGGGUUAAUACCCCGUGAAACUGACGGUACCUGCAGAAUAAGCACCGUCUAACUACGUGCCAGCAGCCGCGGUAAUACGUAGGGUGCAAGCGUUAAUCGGAAUUACUGGGCGUAAAGCGUGCGCAGGCGGUUCGGAAAGAAAGAUGUGAAAUCCCAGAGCUCAACUUUGGAACUGCAUUUUUAACUACCGGGCUAGAGUGUGUCAGAGGGAGGUGGAAUUCCGCGUGUAGCAGUGAAAUGCGUAGAUAUGCGGAGGAACACCGAUGGCGAAGGCAGCCUCCUGGGAUAACACUGACGCUCAUGCACGAAAGCGUGGGGAGCAAACAGG